rnacentral:rRNA from 1 species
UACGGGAGGCAACAGUGGGGAAUAUUGCACAAUGGGCGCAAGCCUGAUGCAGCCAUGCCGCGUGUAUGAAGAAGGCCUUCGGGUUGUAAAGUACUUUCAGUCGUGAGGAAGGUGUUAAGGUUAAUAACCUUAGCAAUUGACGUUAGCGACAGAAGAAGCACCGGCUAACUCCGUGCCAGCAGCCGCGGUAAUACGGAGGGUGCGAGCGUUAAUCGGAAUUACUGGGCGUAAAGGGCACGCAGGCGGUUAAUUAAGUUGGAUGUGAAAUCCCCGGGCUUAACCUGGGAAUGGCAUUCAAGACUGGUUAGCUAGAGUCUUGUAGAGGGGGUUAGAAUUCCAUGUGUAGCGGUGAAAUGCGUAGAGAUGUGGAGGAAUACCGGUGGCGAAGGCGGCCCCUGGACAAAGACUGACGCUCAUGUGCGAAAGCGUGGGGAGCAAACAGGGAUUAGAUACC